AGGAGUAUAGCUCAAUGGCUAGAGCAACUGCCUUUUAAGCAGUGUGUUGCAGGUUCGAGUCCUGUUAUUCCUA
rnacentral:tRNA from 1 species